rnacentral:rRNA from 1 species
GCCCUUCGGGGUGGAUUAGUGGCGAACGGGUGAGUAACACGUGGGCAAUCUGCCCUGCACUCUGGGACAAGCCCUGGAAACGGGGUCUAAUACCGGAUACGAGGUUCACAGGCAUCUGUGAACUUGGAAAGCUCCGGCGGUGCAGGAUGAGCCCGCGGCCUAUCAGCUUGUUGGUGAGGUAACGGCUCACCAAGGCGACGACGGGUAGCCGGCCUGAGAGGGCGACCGGCCACACUGGGACUGAGACACGGCCCAGACUCCUACGGGAGGCAGCAGUGGGGAAUAUUGCACAAUGGGCGAAAGCCUGAUGCAGCGACGCCGCGUGAGGGAUGACGGCCUUCGGGUUGUAAACCUCUUUCAGCAGGGAAGAAGCGAGAGUGACGGUACCUGCAGAAGAAGCGCCGGCUAACUACGUGCCAGCAGCCGCGGUAAUACGUAGGGCGCAAGCGUUGUCCGGAAUUAUUGGGCGUAAAGAGCUCGUAGGCGGCUUGUCACGUCGGUUGUGAAAGCCCGGGGCUUAACCCCGGGUCUGCAGUCGAU